rnacentral:tRNA from 1 species
AGCUUAGUAGGUAAAGCAUGAGACUUUUAAUCUCAGUGUCGUGGGUUGGGUUCCAC